CCUACGGGUGGCAGCAGUGGGGAAUAUUGCACAAUGGGGGAAACCCUGAUGCAGCGACGCCGCGUGAGUGAAGAAGUACUUCUGUAUGGAAAGCUCUAUCAGCAGGGAAGAAGAACGACGCUACCUGACUCAGAAGCCCCGGCUAACUACGUUCCAGCAGCCGCGGGAAUACGUAGGGGGCAAGCGUUAUCCGGAUUUACUGGGUGUAAAGGGAGCGUAGGCGGCUGUGCAAGUCUGGAGUGAAAGCGCAGGGGUCAACCCUGGGACUGCUUUGGAAACUGGGGAGCUAGAGUGCUGGAGGGGUAAGUGGAAUUCCUAGUGUAGCGGUGAAAUGCGUAGAUAUUAGGAAGAACACCAGUGGCGAAGGCGGCUUACUGGAGAGUAACUGACGUUGAGGCUCGAAAGCGUGGGGAGCAAACAGGAUUAGAUACCCUUGUAGUC
rnacentral:rRNA from 1 species